GUCCAAGUAGCACAAUGGAUAAUGAGUUGGACUUCUAAUCCAAAGCUCUUAAGUUCCAGUCCUAAUUAGGAUA